CUACGGGGCGCUCCAGUGAGGAAUCUUCCACAAUGGGCGAAAGCCUGAUGGAGCGACGCCGCGUGCAGGAUGAAGGCCUUCGGGUUGUAAACUGCUUUUAUAAGUGAAGAAUAUGACGAUAACUUAUGAAUAAGCACCGGCUAACUACGUACCAGCAGCCGCGGUCAUACGUAGGGUGCAAGCAUUAUCCGGAGUGACUGGGCGUAAAGAGUUGCGUAGGUGGACAAGUAAGCGAAUAGUGAAAUGUGGCGGCUCAACCGUACACACUAUUAUUCGAACUGCUCGUCUCGAGAAUGGUAGAGGUAACUGGAAUUUCUAGUGUAGGAGUGAAAUCCGUAGAUAUUAAAAGGAACACCAAUGGCGUAGGCAGGUUACUGGACCAUUUCUGACACUAAGGCACGAAAGCGUGGGGAGCGAACCGGAUUAGAUACCCCUGUAGUC
rnacentral:rRNA from 1 species